rnacentral:rRNA from 1 species
UACGGAGGGGGCAAGCGUUGUUCGGAAUUACUGGGCGUAAAGGGCGCGCAGGCGCUGCUCAAGUCAGGCGUGAAGGGCCUGGGCUCAACCCGAGAAUUGCGCUUGAGACUGGGCUGGCUUGAGUGCGGGAGAGGAUGGUGGAAUUCCCAGUGUAGAGGUGAAAUUCGUAGAUAUCGAGAGGAACACCUGAGGUGAAGACGGGUUGCUGGGCCGACACUGACGCUGAGUGCGCGAAAGCCAGGGGAGCAAACGGG